rnacentral:rRNA from 1 species
UACGUAGGGUGCAAGCGUUGUCCGGAAUUAUUGGGCGUAAAGAGCUCGUAGGCGGCUUGUCACGUCGACUGUGAAAACCCGAGGCUCAACCUCGGGCCUGCAGUCGAUACGGGCAGGCUAGAGUUCGGUAGGGGAGACUGGAAUUCCUGGUGUAGCGGUGGAAUGCGCAGAUAUCAGGAGGAACACCGAUGGCGAAGGCAGGUCAC